GUAGGUCUCUUCAUUUCAGGGUAAGCUUCAGAUGUGAUUUAAUUUAGUUCAAUAGUAAAGAAUGCUGGAAAGAUAAUUUGUAAUUUUAUUUUUCCAUUUUAAAACUUAAGAUGGGUUAUGCCAUCUAUAAUACUGGUUAAAAAUAUUAGUUUGAUGAAUGUGCAUCUUAAUAAAUGUACAUUCCUGUGUAACUUGAUCCCUCUCAAUGUGUAUAAAUAGUAUGAGUAGAUUCAAGUACAUCAUCCCUUGAUGUAUGUAGAUCCAAGUUUAGAAAGGUAUUUAUUUAUUUUUUUGACACAGAGUCUUGCUCUGUUGCCCAGGCUGGAGUGCAGUGGUGCAAUCACGGCUCACUGUGGCCUUUACCGGCAGGUCUCAUGUGACUAUCAAGUGAAUUACUAUCAAAAAUAGAGGUUCAAAAUAAUCUUAAAAAGACAAAGACUUGCUAGCCUGUAGAAGUGUAAAGUAUAGUUAAUGGAAACAAUUACAAAAAAUUCUCAAAAUAUAAUCUGCAUCCUUCCACCUUAAAAGAUGGUACAUAUACAUUAUUAAUACUUAUACCUUACUUAUUAAGUAGUCAAUAGAUUUAGUGACAUUCGUAUGUCUGGGAUGUCAGUGAACUCACAACAAUUUAUUUGCAAAAGGAACUCUAGCCAAUUAGUGUCCUCAGCCAGCAAUGUACAGAGAAUCAUAUUUUGUUUGUUGGUGAAACCAUUCCUUUCUAAAUCAUGUCUGCUUUUGGGGGUUGAUUUGCUUAUUACUUUAUUGUUAACUGUUAUCUCUUUGUUUGCUCUCAUUAUGCCUGCCCAUAGUAGUCUCCUCUUUAUAAUUUGAUGUUUUCAGUGUGCUGUGGGAACAGAACCCCAUACAGUACUUGCUGAAUGGUGGAUAAAAAUGACAGCAUGUUCUUCUGGGUGAGGAACCAGAAGACUUUCUGUGCAUGGAGCUUUAGUGCUAGGGACUUGUUGUUUUUUACUGCUUAGAGGACUCGUGCUUUUUUUCUGGUUUUUGACUCUGUUUUGGCUAAGUGAUGCUUCUGGAUAGCCGAGGAUGGUAUAACAGGAUGGUAGAUGCUACCCUGUGGAUGUUUAACUUCCUCUGAAUAAUAAACCUCUAAAAAUUGUCUUGUUAAGUCUAACUCAAGUGGAUGGAGAAGAACUGUUUUUCCUGUUAGAAUGACUUGCUAGUCUACUUCUUGUAAGAACCAUCAAAACCCUAAGCAUGUAUACUAGGAUACUUAGAUCUACUGGUAUAUUGUUACAAUGUAAGUCAAAGAGCAGAUAUUAAAAGUCUUAAAGCACUAUGAGAUUGCUUGUAAAAUAGCCAGAUGUGUCUGUUACCUAAAUAUUUUUGUUUAAACUGGAUCUUAAUCUGUUUUCUUUGAGGUAAAAUUAUCUUUAUAGAUGCAUUUUUCUGUAUUUGUGUUGAUACAAUUUAGACCAUGUCUUGUAUGUAAUAUUCCUGAUACUACUGAACCCUUAAUAUACUUUCAGUAAAUACUAGUUACAGUUUGUCAUGCAUUUUUUCAUUGUUUCACCUUUUCCUGCCUUAGAGUUAAUGUUUUUGGAGCUAGAAUGUCCUUAGGAAUGAUACAGUAGAAUUUCUGCAUUUUAUAGAUGAGAAUGAGACUGUGACUUGUUUAGAAUUGUUCUUUUUCUGCAGAUGUAGAUUUGAAAGGAAAUAACAAAAAACAAACAAAAAAAGAACUGUGCUUUGAUUCUUAGUUUAGUAUUUUUCCUGUUCUAACAUUUUUCCUGUUCUAAUGUUCUUCCCAAGGUAAAAAUUUUAAGGGAGGGAUAGUAGCUUGGAAUUUUGUAGCCUCUGUAACAGAAGUCUGCAAAAAUUUUAUUUCAGCAGUAUAAAAAAUUGAGUCUUCAUUCCCAAUAUGUGUAUGCUUAUUUAUUGUAAACUAUAUACUAUAAAUUAUGUUCAUAAUAAGACAUUAACCCGGGCGUGGUGGCUCACACCUGUAAUUCCAGCACUUUGGGAGGCUGAGGCGGGCAGAUCACCUGAGGUUGCGAGUUCGAGACCAGCUCAACCAACAUGGAGAAACCCCAUCUCUACUAAAAAUACAAAAUUAGCCAGGCGUGGUAGUGCAUGCCUGUAAUCCCAGCUACACAGGAGGCUGAGGCAGGAGAAUCACUUGAAUCCGGGAGGCGGAGGUUGCGGUGAGCCGAGAUUGCACCAUUGCACUCCAAACUGGGCAACAAGAGCGAAACUCUGUCU
rnacentral:lncRNA from 1 species